GGGAAGGAUAACGUUUAAGCUAAAGGUUGUCUUAACUAAGAUUCACUGAGAGCUAUGUGACUUGAAUUAUUUGCCAGUAAUUUAUUCCGUGGAUUUCAGUGUAACGUAGGCACAGCUCCCUUUAGGUGGAUUGGAGCCUAACAUUUCAAAAGGUGAGCUUUAAUCAAAGAACACGGCAUUUGAAACCUGACUUGCAAUUCUCCAAAGGUAUCAACAUUUCUGAAUACACACAGUGCUGCGCUGAAGGGGUGAAGAGAAAGAACUUUCAAGCUUGCUUCAAAGAAAGAAGAGCUUCUACUGCUCAUAUUCAGAAGAGAAUUAUGAGUUACAGAUGCCACCACAAGAACCUGACCACACAGAAGUAGUAAGUGUGGAGCAAUGGAAAUGCAGAGAAUGUGGAAAUGCCUGUUAUGAUGAAAAGAAGAUGAUACAAGAGAUUCACACUUGCAAGGCUUUAAUGCAAAAGGCCUGAGCCACACUGGGACCCACCACCACAAAGCCUAGUCCAAACUUGUCUGCCCUCUGUCCUGAGUACAGGCAAGCUGGUGGCUGUAUGAGCCAGGGAGGAGGGGAGGGGACUUACCUUCACGCCAUCAUUCUUCUUGUUGCCACCACUUUUCCCUCCUGUGGAGAAAAAGUACCAUGUCAAGAGGAACAGGCAUGGUAUCAGGGUCAGCACAGUGAGAACCAGCAACAUGAAGGGAGUUGGGUGAUAGCAGCAGAACGCAGGAACUGAAGAUCACAAGUUUCAAUGCCGCUGCCUUGUCCGUUGGUAGCAAACUCACUUCACAACAAUCCAGAGCUCUGGAGGAAGUCUCUUUCAGAAAACCAUGAAGCUCACCAGCUGGAUUAUUGAGAUCCUUCCACAUAAAUGAGAACAGCCACAGCCACCUAUAUUCUUGGACUCCCAAGUCUUUGAAAAAACCCACAGAAAUUCCAGCAAUGGAAAGAGAAGGGAGCUGAAGGAGCAUUCUCUGUCAUUUGUUUUUUUCCUGAGAGGACUCCAGGAUCCUUCAACAUGGCUUACAGGGAUCCAGCCCUGCACUUGCCAUCACCCUCACCUUCUAGGCUUGCCUACCCUGCUCUGUGGUCUCAGAUAUGAAUACUAAUGGCUCAAUGACUGAUAAGAUCAGUGUGCAAUUGCCAGUUUGCCUUUCUCACUCUCUGCCUCUUUCGCUAAUUUUAGCCCCCCAUGCUGGUGGGGUCAUGUGCUACAAUUAUGACAUCCUGACAGCUGCAGCCCACAUUUUGACAAUGAUGAAAAGCAGACAUCUUCCCCUAUGCCCCCCCCAUCACUAUCCCAGAUCUAGCCUUGUCUCCUGGGACUGCAGCCCACUCAUAAUCCCUCCCUCUUCCCACUGUUGCCUUCAAAUAGAUUCUGAAUGCUUCAAACAUAGAGAUAUGAAGCAUGGCACAAGCACACUUGGCCUGAAUACAGCUUCUGAGCAGAAGACGACCCUGAUAACCCAACUGUCAGUAACAAUCACUGCUCUGGUCAUGGGGGAAAAACACAUCUGAAUUACUCAGGACAUGGAGAACAGAAAACUAAUAAAGCAUAAAGAUUUGAAUUUCCUGAUUUUGAGUUUCAGUAGAAUACUCAUAUCACUUUCACAGCAAUCUGAACUCACAAACUCUCCUCCACUUCUACAGCCACAUUUAAAAAGACAAAACAACAAACACAAACUUCCUAUGAAUUUUAUCAUAGCACACAAUCUACCCUGGUUUCCUAGAUUUUCCCAGUGAUUUCCUGGUGUCCCCAUUGGACCUUGUUUACUUCAUUCAAUAAACAACCAGCACGUGUUAUCUAAGCUCCUUACAUUAUCUUUUUCUUCACUUUAGUAUUUAUUUACUUAUUUCAAUUCUAACCAGCUCUUCCCUCCCAUCAAAGUGCUUAUGGUAGCGAAGGGUUCCAGUUUACAAUAUGCAGCCCAUGCAUAGUUUGUCACAUGCAUGCAUUGCAAUGUAUCCUUUACUACAUGUGCACACUGCAAGAAGCUACAACCAAUUAUGGGUUUGUAUUGCAUGUACCCCAAACUGAAACACAUAGGUAUGAUUAUCAGCUGUUAAGAUGUACUGUAUAUAGAGAUUGCACAUUAUUUCCUGUGCUUUCCAUUUAUAAAAGGGAUGGGAACAUUUUUCAGCUUGAGGGACAUAUUCCCUUCUGGGCAACUUUCUAGAGCCCGUUGUAGGCAAAGCCAGAGACAGAGUGGCACAGCAAAACAUGUACAUUUUACCUUUAUACAGUAAGCUAGUUUCUACACAUACUCACACACAGCUCUUUAUGCUCCAUCCAGGCAUUAUCAGAGUUCAAGUGUAUGUUUUAGUCAAGCAAAAAUAUUAAAGGAGGGCAUGAAGCAAGGCUGGUAAGGGUGGUUGCCUGGGAAGAGGGGAUGUGUCUGGCCUGGGGAGAGUCCCAACUUGUCUGUUAACUUUCAUUUUGCUUUGUACUUAUGUCUAGGGUUGUUGUGUUUUUUUUUUGUAAUAUUGAAUUUAUUCUAUGUUUACUAAAUUGUUGGUUUUUGUCUCAUCUGAAUUUAUUGAUAUGUUCUGUAAACUGCUUUCUCCCCUACCUUUCACUCUCCAAUGUUUUGUAUUUUGAUAAG